rnacentral:rRNA from 1 species
CCUACGGGAGGCAGCAGUGAGGAAUAUUGGUCAAUGGACGAGAGUCUGAACCAGCCAAGUAGCGUGAAGGAUGACUGCCCUAUGGGUUGUAAACUUCUUUUAUAUGGGAAUAAAAUGUUCCACGUGUGGGAUUUUGUAUGUACCAUAUGAAUAAGGAUUGGCUAACUCCGUGCCAGCAGCCGAGGUAAUACGGAGGAUCCGAGCGUUAUCAGGAUUUAUUGGGUUUAAAGGGAGCGUAGGUGGAUUGUUAAGUCAGUUGUGAAAGUUUGCGGAUCAACCGUAAAAUUGCAGUUGAAACUGGCAGUCUUGAGUACAGUAGAGGUGGGCGGAAUUCGUGGUGUAGCGGUGAAAUGCUUAGAUAUCACGAAGAACUCCGAUUGCGAAGGCAGUUCACUGGACUGCAACUGACACUGAGGCUCGAAAGUGUGGGUAUCAAACAGGAUUAGAUACCCGAGUAGUC